GACAGGGCAGUCGGGUUUCACCCGUAAAUGAGGAGCGGAAUGAGCCUGACGAACGCCUCCUAAAAUCUGAUAAAAUCUUUUAAACUGACCUUUGUUGAUCUGAUAUGAAGACAGAUUCAGCAACUGCACGGCCUAUUUCUCUCUUAAAAUGUUUUCAGAAACACGUUUCAGUGAAC